GAUCGACCGCAGUCUACGAACCAUGACUGCAUGUACCGAACGAUCGGGUAAGAAGCUCAUAAGUACUGUAGAGAACGAGUCUAUCAUUGUGACGUACUAGAUAGCCCGCUACUACGUCAGCAGCGCGUAUCGGUAGUCGAGCGUAUCGAUUACUGCGUAAGCAGGCAGACGUAUAGCAGAUGUGAAAUCCUGCUCAACUGGAACUGCGUCUGAACUGAUAGCUAGAGUGGUCAGAGGGGGGUAGAUCACGUGUAGCAGUGAAUGCGUAGAGAUGUGGAGGAUACCGAUGCGAAGCAGCCCCUGGAUAACACUGACGUUCAUGCUCGAAGCGUGGGUAGCAACAGGAUUAGAUACCCUGGUAGUCACGCCUAAACGAUGUCGAUUAGCUGUUGGGCAACUUGAUUGCUUAGUAGCGUAGCUAACGCGUGAAAUCGACCGCUGGGGAGUACGGUCGCAAGAUUAAAACUCAAAGGAAUUGACGGGGACCCGCACAAGCGGUGGAUGAUGUGGAUUAAUUCGAUGCAACGCGAAGAACCUUACCUGGUCUUGACAUGUACGGAACCUUCCAGAGACGGAAGGGUGCCUUCGGGAGCCGUAACACAGGUGCUGCAUGGCUGUCGUCAGCUCGUGUCGUGAGAUGUUGGGUUAAGUCCCGCAACGAGCGCAACCCUUGUCAUUAGUUGCCAUCAUUUAGUUGGGCACUCUAGCGAGACUGCCGGUAAUAAACCGGAGGAAGGUGGGGAUGACGUCAAAUCAUCAUGCCCCUUAUGACCUGGGCUACACACGUGCUACAAUGGCUGGUACAACGAGUCGCAAGCCGGUGACGGCAAGCUAAUCUCUUAAAGCCAGUCUCAGUUCGGAUUGUAGGCUGCAACUCGCCUACAUGAAGUCGGAAUCGCUAGUAAUCGCGGAUCAGCACGCCGCGGUGAAUACGUUCCCGGGCCUUGUACACACCGCCCGUCACACCACGAGAGUUUGUAACACCCGAAGUCGGUGAGGUAACCGUAAGGAGCCAGCCGCCUAAGGUGGGAUAGAUGAUUGGGGUGAAGUCGUAACAAGGUAGCCGUAUCGGAAGGUGCGGUUGGAUCACCUCCUUC
rnacentral:rRNA from 1 species